rnacentral:lncRNA from 1 species
CCUGGCCAGAAUCCACAGAGGAGGGCGCCAAAUCCUCUCUCGUGAGAUCUGCCCUUCUCACGAAACUUGCGCUUGCUUCCUCUCGCGGUCCCAGCAGGCAGCUGAUUGUUUAGAUGGAGAGACCACAGGGGAGAGUUACCUGUUGCUGUGGGAGCAAUGAGGAGUUAUGGAGGAAAGGAGAGGUACCAAGACCAGAUGAGGACUGAACAUUAGACUUCCCAUGAUUGCAGAACUGUCCUUCGCUGCAGCUGUAAAAUCGCGGCAAGGCAGGAUUCAUCCUGGUGGUGGGUGCAGGCCCUGAUUCCCGUCACUGAGCAGGGAUACAGCAGGAAGCUCCACCUCUGAGCACAGCAAGGGGAUUGUUCUGAUUCUGAGUGUGUCUGUUUGCUAGAGCGGUGGCCACACUUCCCCGGUUCUGCAAUUGUGGAUAAUUUAGCAUGACUUGUUGGGCAUUGCAAAUAUCAUGUCGUGGAGAGUCUGGGCUCUGUUAUUUUUUCCAGCUGUGUGUGUGUGUGUGUGUGUGUGUGUGUGUGCAUGCACGCGCACGCGUGUGUGUGAUGAGACCAUUAAGUUGGUUUGACAGACUGCAAACUGCCUGUUGAACAGCAGCUGAAUUCUUAAUUUGGUUCUUUUAUCCUUCUUGUGUUUCGUGGAGUUUGCCUCACACAUUCAGCGUUCGGAUGUCAACUGGAGUUCUGGAUGGAAGUUAUACACAGAAUUUGGGGUUCUCCAUCUCUGAUUCUCUCCUUCCUUCUCAAUUUUUAGCAGGCAUAUUCCCAAUUUCUUCAGGAGGGAAAGACCAAGGGUUUCCUGUUGGUGUUUUGGCAACUCCGCAUGGCAUGGCGUCAGACUCACCCUAAGCUAAAAACCAUAAAAGCCCUCUUUCCCUUUGUUUCUUCCACACAUCACACUCCCCUCCCAUAAUCCAUGCUUUUCAUCUCCACUCACUUUUUAUAUUUGCUCAUUGUCUAGAUAUUCCCUGCAGGAGAGUGACAUUAGACGGGCUCACUUGGCCACCAUGGGAAGCAGAAAUCCAGAGAUGGACACAUUCCCUAAAUGCUUCUAUGCUGCCCUGUAGGAGAGGUGUUACUCUACUCACAUUGCCGUGAGGAAACUGAGGCUCAGAAGUAGCAUCCUUUGUCUGAAAGGACAUAGCUCGUGAGCGCUGGAAGCAUAGUUUGGUGUCUGACUUGGCCAAUUCCAAAGCUUGUGUGAUUUGCACCAGCACUCAGAUGCAUUCUUCCCUCUCCCUCCCUACCCAAGAAAAAUGCUAUCCCUCCCUUUUCCUCUAAUUAGAAAAUUCUUUUGUAUAGUAGGAGAUUAUUAGGAAAUAAUCAUUUCUCUCCAAAAGUAACACACUGAGGAGGCAGUAUCUGAGGGUUUUGCCCAAAUAUGGCCUUUCAACCUCUGAAUUCAUGCCUACAGAAAUUCCAAGAUGUUUGUCAUAGCAUUUUUAUUCUAACCCUCCUUAAUGAGUGAUACAGUUUGCCUGUGUCCCCACCCAAAUCUCAUCUUGAAUUGUAGCUCCCA